GUGUGGUGCCUGUUAUCGGACCCGGAGUUAGCAACAUCCCCAAAACCCGAAGAGUAGAGUCCUGGCCCCUAGCCCUGUCAGCGUAGCAGAAAUGAUGAGGAUGAUGAUGGCAGCAGCAGCCGUUCUCCUCUGCCACUUUGCACAUAAUACUAUAAAUAUAAGGAGGAAGCCUGAGGCCCUGCAGCAGACUCACAGACGGAUGCAGAGGGGAGGAGUGUGGAGGUGUGUGCUGUGUGUUUGGAGGAGGGACUCCUUCAGUUAGAGAAGUGAGGCGUCACAAGUUCCUGGUUUCCAGUGAAGAAGAAGAGAGGCAGCAGUAAACCAUCAGAGCCUCAUCAUGAAAGUCCAUCACACUCUGAUCUGCUUCUUCUUCCUUUGAACAUGGAAGAUGUUCUGCAGAGAACAAUGUGAAGGAGAAAACAUUCUCAUUAAAACAACUGAUGUCAGAGCUCAAACAGGCAGAUACAGCAUUGAAUAUGAAAACAAUGUUUUAUCUGUGAGCAUCUCAAAGCUGACUGAGUCUGACUCUGGACAGUACAGCUGUGGUUUGGGUGGAUCUUCAUCAUCAGCUCCAUUCACACCGCUUGUGAU
ensembl:lncRNA